UACGUAGGGGGCAAGCGUUGUCCGGAUUUAUUGGGCGUAAAGAGCGUGUAGGCGGCCAUUCAGGUCAGCUGUGAAAACUCGAGGCUCAACCUCGAGACGUCGGUUGAAACCGUUUGGCUAGAGUCCGGAAGAGGAGAGUGGAAUUCCCGGUGUAGCGGUGAAAUGCGCAGAUAUCAGGAGGAACACCGGUGGCGAAGGCGGUUCUCUGGGCAUGUUCUGACGCUGAGGAGCGAAAGUGUGGGGGAGCGAACAGG
rnacentral:rRNA from 1 species